AGCAGCCGCGGUAACUCCAGCUCCAAUAGCAUAUAUUAAAAUUGCUGCAGUUAAAAAGCUCGUAGUUGGAUCUGGGUUCUGGCCUGGGAUAUCGUGGAUUGUUAUAAUGUUAUUCAUUUAGCAGUUCAUGAUUUAUUCAGGCCGAAUCUUCCAGCUGUGUCUGUGUGGUACCUCGGUACUACAUAGAUAAUGUCGUCGUCUGCGAUUGCCUCACGGCUUUCCAGCCUCGACAUUAUGCACUGCUAUGCCUUUAACUGGGUGUACAGUGUGGACAGCACGUUUACUUUGAACAAAUUUGAGUGCUCAAAGCAGGCCUU
rnacentral:rRNA from 1 species